rnacentral:rRNA from 1 species
UACAGAGGGUGCAAGCGUUGUUCGGAAUUAUUGGGCGUAAAGCGCGUGUAGGCGGCUUUGCAAGUCGGGUGUGAAAGCCCUCAGCUCAACUGAGGAAGUGCGCCCCGAAACUGCAGAGCUUGAGUGCCGGAGAGGGUGGCGGAAUUCCCCCAAGUAGAGGUGAAAUUCGUAGAUAUGGGGAGGAACACCGGUGGCGAAGGCGGCCACCUGGACGGUAACUGACGCUGAGACGCGAAAGCGUGGGUAGCAAACAGG